UACAGAGGGGGCAAGCGUUGUUCGGAAUUACUGGGCGUAAAGGGCGCGUAGGCGGCCCACUAAGUCGAACGUGAAAUCCCUGGGCUCAACCCAGGAACUGCGUCCGAUACUGGUGGGCUCGAAUCCGGGAGAGGGAUGUGGAAUUCCAGGUGUAGCGGUGAAAUGCGUAGAUAUCUGGAGGAACACCGGUGGCGAAGGCGGAUCUCUGGGCCAUUACUGACGCUGAGGAGCGAAAGCGUGGGGAGCGAACAGG
rnacentral:rRNA from 1 species